UACGUAGGGGGCAAGCGUUGUCCGGAAUCAUUGGGCGUAAAGCGCGUGUAGGCGGCCCGGUAAGUCCGCUGUGAAAGUCGGGGGCUCAACCCUCGAAUGCCGGUGGAUACUGUCGGGCUAGAGUGCGGGAGAGGCGAGUGGGAUUCCUGGUGUAGCGGUGAAAUGCGCAGAUAUCAGGAGGAACACCAAUUGCGAAGGCAGCUCGCUGGAACGUAACUGACGCUGAGACGCGAAAGCGUGGGGAGCAAACAGG
rnacentral:rRNA from 1 species